rnacentral:tRNA from 5 species
GCCCUCGUAGCUCAGGGGAUAGAGCAUCGGCCUCCGGAGCCGUGUGCGCAGGUUCGAAUCCUGCCGAGGGCGCCA